rnacentral:rRNA from 1 species
GAUGAACGCUUUCUUCGUGCCUAAUACAUGCAAGUCGAGCGAACGGACGAGAAGCUUGCUUCUCUGAUGUUAGCGGCGGACGGGUGAGUAACACGUGGAUAACCUACCUAUAAGACUGGGAUAACUUCGGGAAACCGGAGCUAAUACCGGAUGAUAUUUUGAACCGCAUGGUUCAAAAGUGAAAGACGGUCUUGCUGUCACUAAUAGAUGGAUCCGCGCUGCAUUAGCUAGUUGGUAAGGUAACGGCUUACCAGGGCAACGAUGCAUAGCCGACCUGAGAGGGUGAUCGGCCACACUGGAACUGAGACACGGUCCAGACUCCUACGGGAGGCAGCAGUAGGGAAUCUUCCGCAAUGGGCGAAAGCCUGACGGAGCAACGCCGCGUGAGUGAUGAAGGUCUUCGGAUCGUAAAACUCUGUUAUUAGGGAAGAACAUAUGUGUAAGUAACUGUGCACAUCUUGACGGUACCUAAUCAGAAAGCCACGGCUAACUACGUG